GGGGCCCAGGGCAGUGAGUCAUGGUGGUCCCUGUCUUUAGGUGUUCCUCUUCCCAGCUGCCUCACUGAGAGGAUAUGGCUCAGAGGGAAGGUGAAGCAGGGCAGCUAUGACUGUGUGCAAGUUGGAAUUCUGUCUUGUUCACCCAGCUGGUUUGGGAGAUUACUGAAGGGGAAGCUUGGGAGAAGAUCUGGCCAUUGUUAGUUACUUAUGCUUCAUUUCUGCUUCUUUGAUCUAAAGAAUUUAAUCUACAGGUUAGGCAAGGUAUUAUAUGAUCAAAAGAUUUGAAAGGUGUGCUUGGGCUGGAGAUGAGUUGAGCAUGGGGGGUUGCUGGUUUAAAAGCAAGGUACA
rnacentral:lncRNA from 1 species